rnacentral:rRNA from 1 species
UACGUAGGUGGCAAGCGUUAUCCGGAAUUAUUGGGCGUAAAGAGCGCGCAGGUGGUUGAUUAAGUCUGAUGUGAAAGCCCACGGCUUAACCGUGGAGGGUCAUUGGAAACUGGUCGACUUGAGUGCAGAAGAGGGAAGUGGAAUUCCAUGUGUAGCGGUGAAAUGCGUAGAGAUAUGGAGGAACACCAGUGGCGAAGGAGUCUUCCUGGUCUGUAACUGACACUGAGGCAUGAAAGCGUGGGUAGCAAACAGGAUUAGA